GACGAACGCUGGCGGCGUGCUUAACACAUGCAAGUCGAACGGAAAGGCCCUGCUUUUGUGGGGUGCUCGUGUGGCGAACGGGUGAGUAACACGUGAGUAACCUGCCCUUGACUUUGGGAUAACUUCAGGAAACUGGGGCUAAUACCGGAUAGGAGCUCCUGCUGCAUGGUGGGGGUUGGAAAGUUUCGGCGGUUGGGGAUGGACUCGCGGCUUAUCAGCUUGUUGGUGGGGUAGUGGCUUACCAAGGCUUUGACGGGUAGCCGGCCUGAGAGGGUGACCGGCCACAUUGGGACUGAGAUACGGCCCAGACGCCUACGGGAGGCAGCAGUGGAGAGUAUUGCGCAAUGGGCGGAAACCUGAUGCAGCAACGCCGCGUGCGGGAUGACGGCCUUCGGGUUGUAAACCGCUUUCGCCUGUGACGAAGCGUGAGUGACGGUAAUGGGUAAAGAAGCACCGGCUAACUACGUG
rnacentral:rRNA from 1 species